rnacentral:rRNA from 1 species
UACAGAGACUGCGAGCGUUAUUCAGAUUCACUGGGCGUAAAGGGUGCGCAGGCGGCCGUGUGUGUUGGGCGUGAAAGCCCGGGGCUUAACCCCGGAAUUGCACCCAAAACUACACGGCUAGAGCAUUGGAGAGGGUAGCGGAAUUCACGGUGUAGCAGUGAAAUGCGUAGAUAUCGUGAGGAACACCAGAGGCGAAGGCGGCUACCUGGACAAUUGCUGACGCUCAGGCACGAAAGCGUGGGGAGCAAAAGGG